UACUUUUAAUUGUAUUUGCUUCUUACACAUGUAACGUUAAAGUGCCUAUGACACGAAAUUUCACCCCAAAUGUUUAUGAUUGCAUUGUAAAGAUCACUUGAAAUGACUUAAUAAUCUCUUUUAUAGAAUUUUGGUAACUUGCUUCCUUUGCAAGAUAUUCAACUUUGUUUCAUGUGCAAAUAUCACCAGUGUGACAUCACAUCGCAUAAUGACAUUUUGAAAACACAAUAUUUUACCUUGAUCAAAUAUUUUUGCAAACAAAUACAGAGGGUUAAUUACCAGUUAUGAAAUUAAUACAUAUACAAGGGCAAUUUUUAAGUUUUUUAGAUACGUAUUCGUCAAGAAAACUAUACUUUUCUGAAAACUCAUUAUGUGAUGUGAUGUCACACCGGUGAUAUUUGCAUAUGAAACAAAGUUGAAUAUCUUGAAAAGGGAGCAAGUUAUCAAAAUUCUAUAAAAGAAAUUAUUAAGUCAUUUUAAGUGAUCUUCACAAUGCAACCAUAAACCUUUGGGGUGAAAUUCGUGUCAUAGGCACUUUAAAUAUAUAUAUAUAUUUUAAUUAUUUACAAGAGAGUAUAUAGACUGCCAUUGAGCAUUGCCAUUGGCAAUGAAUGACGUACAACAACAUGCGUACAUAGACAAAUUUGGCUAAUGUUUGUUUAUAUACCAAAUUUACUUUAUACCAAAUUCACAACUUUAGAUUACUCAUAUGCCUAGUUACUAUUGUUUUAGUUUACAGAAGCCAGGGACUAUUGUUUUUGUUUACAGACCCGUACCGGGUUUUAUAUUUUCAGCUCAGCCUUCAGAACCUGGUCUUUAGUCGAAAACAAAAACCGACCGAGAACAAUAGAAAAUGGGUGUGGUAUAGGUUUAUAACUAUUGUUUCUAAUGCGGACGUUUGAAGCAGGCCUAAUGCUCAGUUACCUUGUUCUAGUUUGUUUUGUUGUUUUUAUAUAAACUUUAUUAAGCUGAUUCUGUAACUCUAGAACAAUAGUAACUAGGCAUGUCGUUAUCUAAUGUUGUGAAUUGUGUAGCAACAAUGUAAACAACGUACAUAACGUACGUUAGCCAAUUCAAAUUUGGCUAUUCUGCGUACAGCACUCGAACAGGUGUGUUGAAGUUAGCCUCACCAGGGCAGCAGAUGGUGUCUGGCAGUCUGUUUCUCAUGCUGAAACUCAUGAUCAUAGGCGUACGGGGCGGGGGGGCGGGGGGGCGGUAGCCCCCCAGUUUUUUGGGCAGUUGGGCAAUAUCCCAGUUUUUUGGGCAGUCGGGCAAUAUUCGAUCAACAGUCGGGCAAUUUUGGUUUGCAAUUAAAAAAAAUGGGACAAAUUAUGUCAAUUUUGUCUAAAAUUAAGUAAAUUUUUUGGCAAAUUUUG